CGUAGGGGGCAAGCGUUGUCCGGAUUUAUUGGGCGUAAAGAGCGUGUAGGCGGCCAGACAGGUCCGUUGUGAAAACUAGAGGCUCAACCUCUAGACGUCGAUGGAAACCGUCUGGCUAGAGUCCGGAAGAGGAGAGUGGAAUUCCUGGUGUAGCGGUGAAAUGCGCAGAUAUCAGGAAGAACACCCGUGGCUAAGGCGGCUCUCUAGUACGGUACUGACGCUGAGACGCGAAAGCGUGGGAGCGAACAGGAUUAGAUACCCUGGUAGUCCACGCCGUAAACGAUGGGUGCUAGGUGUGGGGGGUGUCGACUCCCUCCGUGCCGAAGCUAACGCAUUAAGCACCCCGCCUGGGGAGUACGGCCGCAAGGCUA
rnacentral:rRNA from 1 species